UAUUAAAAACUCUACUGCACUUGAGAUUCGAACCCACGACCAUUGACUUGCUAGUCGAGAUUCCUCGCCUGCGGCUACUCAGGCAGAUUGGGCUACUUUUAGAUUACGAAGGAAUGUAGAAUGUAAUCACACCUCUAAAAGCUAACUUUCGUUUAUGACUAAAUCGAUAAUUGAUAAACGUUUUUGUUGUGGUCACGUAAAGCUUUCAUGUCGUUUUCGUUGCUAUCACCCAUGUGGAAAUGAAAAAGUAGUAAAGAGAAGCAAAUUUUUGUUUAUAUUUGUUUGUGGUUUCCAAAAUCCAAAAUCGUUAAAAUAAACAACAAAUCAAAUAUUGAUGAAGUAGCGACUCUCUUUCAACUAAACGGUGGCGUGAACAAUUAAAGAGAUUCGCAAGUUGGCUGAGAAGGAAAUGGUCACUUAGCUUACCAUCAGCGAAGUAGCGCGUGUAAUGUAUGUAUCGGUAAAAUUUGUGGCAGUGAUGCUAAGCGGGAUAUAUUGGAUGCUGCUAACGAAGAAAUAUAUCCAAUUGCCUACAGGAGAGAGCUCCUAAAGAAGAUAGUUUUUGGUACGCCAAAGUCAGCCAGCAUUGGAUAAAUAAUUGCCCAAAAUUUGCGUUUAUGUCUGCCAAAUGGCCAUAGCAUUUCCACACUGGUGCAGUUAAAUGUCGCAGAUUUUCAUCUAGGACAAAUAAGUCCGAUUACUCAAAUAAUAAAAGCUUUAAGCCAAUUGCACAACAACAAAGAUACAAAUCUAUGGAGCGUUAUAGUAAGAUGGAAUGUUGAAUCUAUCACAGUUGAGAAGUAAUCCUAACUUUGCUGAUGUGGUGGUAAAUCUGGGCAAUAGUGGUGUUCUGGAGCGUAUCUGUAACUUGAUUUAUUCCAACGAUGUGAAAUUUCGCAAUGUCAACGGCAUAUUGAUGAAAACUAAUGGUAUGAAGACCAUUAAAACAAUUUACAGGAGUAGAAUUCGCUAUACUGAAUUUAAGAGAUAAUAAGGUAAAAUAGUCUUAAGGAAAUAGAAACAGAGAUAAAAGUGUGCUGCUAAACUUUAGCAUACUAAUUUCAUGCUCGCGAUUUUUUUUUAAUAUAUCGUUCAAGAGUAUAUGAGCCUUAUGGCCGAAUUGGGUGAAGGUCUACCUCCAUCAGCUCAAUCGAAACAAAAUGCUGAUCCUAUGUUUCAAGUACAUAUCAAUAGAGGUUACAACAUUUUUGGUAAGAAACCGUCUGCUAUGCCAGCUAUACAAGCACGAGUACCGAGUCCCGCCCACGACAGUACCGGAUUUGGCGGGUGCUCCACCAACACCAUGCCACCCAGUUGGGGUGCCUCUAACGGAGCUCCUGCUGUGCGGAUGCCGCCAUUAAUACCACCACUACCCGGCACGGCACCAUUGUCAAUAUGGCCAGCGGCUACUAACAUAAUACCAAGUUUCCCGACUUGGGAACCAGCACCAGGUGCUUAUCCGCCCCCUCCUCCGCCACCUUGCGUACCUCUACCAACAAAAAUUAGAGGGCUCGCUCAAUCCUCUCCUCUACCUUCUCCAGCUAAUUAAAAACUUUCGAUACUAUUUCGUAAUUAAAACAUUUGGUUGAAAUAACCAACAAACUAUAAGGCUCCCAUAUGUACUUGUAGCUGUCAAAUUCUCCCGUCUCAACAUUUCUUUUCGCAUAUUACUUUGUUAUAUUAUAAUUUGGUAAACAUAAAUCGAAGUAAUGUAUUGUAUAUACAAACUUGUAUCUUAGCUCAUACAAUUUUUACAAUUCUUCCUCGUGCUCAUACAAUUUUUACAAUUCUUCCUCUUGCUCAUACAAUUUUUACGAUUCUUCCUCUUGCUGUCCAUCUCAACUAAAUCGAAGAAAGCAGUCACCUAUUGCUGCAAAAAUAUCGUAUAUAAAUUAAGGAAUUUAUUGAAACAGUUUCAACAAAACAAACUCGCAUAAUAUAUUUAAAACAUUCGGUCUAAACGAAAAAUUUCUUAAGGUUUCAGAUCAUUGCUUUAAAUAUCAAACUAAAUUUAAAAGUUUUACCUCUUUGUCUUCGUCAGGUGUAACAUUGGGAUUUGUCAAUAUUAUUUUAACAGAGUCGCUGGCGAAAAUCGCAGCCCAUUAUGCAGUCGAGUGUACGUUUCGCACAGACUACGAUUUGCUUUCAAGGCAUGUUACAAUUACAGGGCAGUGUGAAGGUUACCAUAUGACGUGUUAUCAUGUUACGUAGGAAAAUACAAUAAACGUUGCUUACCAAUAUAUUCCGUACAAAUCAAAUACAAUUUCUUUCGUGUUAAAUUUGUUUAAAGGAAUAGUUGAAAUGUUUACAAACCUGUUAGUUCAAGGUCAUGUAAAUAUAAAAGCGGUUUUUAACGAAUAUAAAAUCGAAGAUAAUUACAUACGCAAUCGUGAUGAUAGUUUUUUGUAAACAGUAAAGCACAUGUGUUAGUUGCAUUAGUUACACACAGGGUCUCACAAAAUUCACGCAAGAUAGUGUUGAGUAGUAACUAAAGUAAGUAAGAUAAUGUUGAGUAGUAACUAAACAGACAGGGUCAAUUGAUAAUUUUGCCCUCUCUGGUCUUGCAACACCAAGUGUUGUUGGGAAUCCAGGGGCAUGACUUCUGCAUUGUGGUCAAGAGUUGAACGUUUAGAGAAGCUCCCUACAUCGAAUUCUAACGAACGAUUUGCAUCCCAUGUUUACGAAGUUCAAUUCAUUCAAGAAUUGAUGCCUACUGACCAUGCACAGCCAUUGGAAAUCGAUGAAUGGACUGUAUCGCAUCGCCCAAUAACUAUUCGGUCUGACGCACAAAACUGGAUCCAUAAUUUUUGGAUGGCACCAAUCUUCAAACGAUGCUUUUCAAGAUUGCAUUAAAUUCUGAAAAUUAAUUUAUAAUUUACAGUUGUUCCCAUGCCGCUGAUUGUUUGGACUUUUUUAGCAGCUUUCGGCUGUCUCUGUCCAAUCGGCAGAUUGAACUUUGGAACUUAGUGAUGAACCCGUGUUUCACACAUUGUCAUAUAACGCAUUGAAAUAACGUGUUUAUAGCGCUUACAGCGCUAUGUAUCAUCGACAUGAUGUUGUCAAAGGUAAAAAAAUACCACUUUACACAGAGUUUUCUAAUGGACAAAAGUUUAUGCCAAAUAGUAAAUACACUGCCUUCUGAUAUGUUUAAGAUGUUAGCUUUUGGCUUUCGAAAAUAAUUUUCCGCUACUUUUUUAUGUCUUCCGGAAUAAUUGCCGAAUUUUGGGCGUAUAAAGCGGUCACCAUCAACGGUAUCCAUGGGACUGUGUUUAAAAUUGUCAAGCCAUUUAGAAGUUCAUUUUUCGACGUGGGUCGCCAUAACAUUUUCCACAUCCACGCUUAUAAGCAAAAGCAGCUUUACUAAAAUAACUUUAAACUAAAACUCGCAAACUAAUGGUCUCAACAUCUUCAAAUGUGACUGAGUAUCCUUUGAAGCUGAUGCUAUUCAGAAAUGAUGUGUAAGGGAAUUUAGUCUGUGAUGUUCUAGCACAGUACGAGGAUGCUGAUGAAUACGUAUAUGCUAGCAUGGGUUUUCAUGAUCAUUUGUAAGACAUGUUCCUCCGUACAUAAACCCUUACGGUAUACUUUAUGAAUCGUUAAAAUAUUCACGAAUUUU